CUGUAGUGGGUGUAACGGACCCCACUAACCUACGACGGGUAGGGGCGUUGAGAGACGGAGCCCCCAGAUGGAUUCUGAGACACGAAUCCAGGCCCUACGGGGCGCAGCAGCUACGAAAACUGCACAAUGUGGGAAACCACGAUGCGGGUAUUCCGAGUGACAACGCAUUGCGUUGUCUGUUCUUUCGCCUAAAAGGCGAGAGAAGUAAGGGCCGGGUAAGACGGGUGCCAGCCGCCGCGGUAAUACCCGCGGCCCGAGUGGUGCUCAUUAUUAUUGAGCUUAAAGCGUUCGUAGCCGGCCUCGUAAAUCCUUGGGUAAAUCGGGCAGCCCAACUGUUCGAAUUCCGAGGAGACUGCGAGGCUCGGGACCGGGAGAGGUCAGAGGUACUUCGGGGGUAGGGGUAAAAUCCUGUAAUCCUCGAAGGACCACCAGUGGCGAAGGCGUCUGACUAGAACGGAUCCGACGGUGAGGGACGAAGCCCUGGGGCGCAAACGGGAUUAGAUACCCCGGUAGUCCAGGGUGUAAACGCUGCAGGCUUGGUGUCGGAGGUCCUACGGGGGCGUCCGGUGCCGGAGAGAAAUUGUUAAGCCUGCCGCUUGGGGAGUACGGUCGCAAGACUGAAACUUAAAGGAAUUGGCGGGAGAGCACCGCAACGGGAGGAGCGUGCGGUUCAAUUGGAUUCAACGCCGG
rnacentral:rRNA from 1 species